GAUAUAGGUCAGUUGGUAGACUGCCUACCUCACAUGCACAAGGUCCUAGGUUCGAUCCCUAGAAAAACA
rnacentral:tRNA from 1 species